AUGCCUUAUCUUGAGCUAAACCUCUGGGAUUUUAACACAAAACAAGAUGAAUAUUUUCUUGGCUUGACUUUGGCUGUAAAACCAAGCGCUCCUAAACUAGAAAUGGUCUGCAAUGCAUCUCAGGAUAUGAGUGAGAACUUUCUCUUUUGCCCUAUGGUUAACAAUGAUCGUGAACCAUCAGUUUUCUGGUCUCUGCUCUCUCCUGAUGAAAGCCGCGACCACGCACCUGUUGAAUCAUGUCCUCUAUCUCUGUCCUUCAGGUGAGAAUAUGAAUCCAUGUUUU